rnacentral:rRNA from 1 species
CAGUCGCCGCGGUAAAACGUAGGGUGCAAGCGUUAAUCGGAAUUACUGGGCGUAAAGCGUGCGCAGGCGGUUUUGUAAGACAGAGGUGAAAUCCCCGGGCUCAACCUGGGAACUGCCUUUGUGACUGCAAGGCUAGAGUACGGCAGAGGGGGAUGGAAUUCCGCGUGUAGCAGUGAAAUGCGUAGAUAUGCGGAGGAACACCGAUGGCGAAGGCAAUCCCCUGGGCCUGUACUGACGCUCAUGCACGAAAGCGUGGGGAGCAAACAGGAUUAGAUACCCGAGUAGUCCCUGUCUCUUAUAC